UGGAAACGGGGUUUGUACUUAAUUUAAUAAUUAUUUACAUUUAUGAAAGAGUAAUUCUGUUUGUAAUUGAAUUUUUAGUCAAGUAACGACUAUUAUUAUUCCUUUUUAAAACAGAUAUUCCAAACAUUGUUAAUUGAUAAACUGUUUUAUCAGGAUAUGGUGUAUUUGCUCUUGCAUCAAUUUAAAAAGGUUCUUUUGUGGUCGAGUACCGAGGGAAGUUCAUCUCAAGACAUGAGCGGGACAAGAGACAGAAACCCUCUAUAAUUAUCUUUACUAUUUAUCUGGCAUUAUAUGCUCAUAAUGUUAACAACAAAAAGUGCUGAUAAUGUUAUAAUUAAUAAGUUCUAACAUUAUUUUUAUGUGUUUUGUUGCAGACACCAACUGUUGAUGUUCUAUCUCAACAUUCUCCAGAUUCAUGUGAGCGAUAAACCGACUUCAUCCCUCCAACAGACACCAACUGUUGGGGUUCUAUCUCAACAUUCUCCAGAUUCAGAUGUGAGCGAUAAACCGACUUCAUCCCUCCAACAGAAACCAACUGUUGAGGUUCCAUCUCAACAUUCUCCAGAUUCAGAUGUGAGCCAUUAACUGACUUCAUCCCUCCAACAGAAACCAACUGUUGAGGUUCUAUCUCAACAUUCUCUAGAUUCAGAUGACAGCCAUAAACCGACUUCAUCCCUCCAACAGAUUGACAGCAGGACAAAUCGCUGGAAGUGGGUAUGUCUCAAGCUUCUUCCACUUGGUCCACUCCAAAGCGGGCUGCAAAGGGGAAGAAGUGGAAGCAGUUGAAUGACACAUGUUGCAUUUUGUAACUGCCAACAAAGUACCAGGUAAAAAAGAUUGUGAAGCCUGCAUCCAUAAAGAACUAGUAGCUCUACAGGACAGAGAUUGGCUUGCCAUCAAGUACUACAUCCAUAACAGAAUUAUAUUAAAAAAAGGGAAAAAAAAUGUUUUCCCACAUCUUCUGUGGUAGUUUGAAUAUGUUACCAGCAAUUAA